rnacentral:rRNA from 1 species
UACGUAGGGUGCAAGCGUUAAUCGGAAUUACUGGGCGUAAAGCGUGCGCAGGCGGUUAUGCAAGACAGAUGUGAAAGCCCCGGGCUUAACCUGGGAACUGCGUUUGAAACUGGGAGACUUGAGUGUGGCAGAGGGGGGUGGAAUUCCACGUGUAGCAGUGAAAUGCGUAGAUAUGUGGAGGAACACCGAUGGCGAAGGCAGCCCCCUGGGUUAACACUGACGCUCAUGCACGAAAGCGUGGGGAGCAAACAGG